GACGAACGCUGGCGGCGUGCUUAACACAUGCAAGUCGAACGGUGAAGCGCCUUCCUUUUUGGUGGGUGUGGAUGAGUGGCGAACGGGUGAGUAACACGUGAGUAACCUGCCCCCUUCUUCUGGAUAACCGCAUGAAAGUGUGGCUAAUACGGGAUAUUCUGGGUCUGUCGCAUGAUGGGUCUGGGAAAGAUAUUGUUUCGGUGGGGGAUGGGCUCGCGGCCUAUCAGCUUGUUGGUGGGGUGAUGGCCUACCAAGGCGGUGACGGGUAGCCGGCCUGAGAGGGUGGACGGUCACACUGGGACUGAGACACGGCCCAGACUCCUACGGGAGGCAGCAGUGGGGAAUAUUGCACAAUGGGCGCAAGUCUGAUGCAGCGACGCCGCGUGAGGGAUGGAGGCCUUCGGGUUGUGAACCUCUUUCGCCAGUGAAGCAGGCCUGCCUCGUUUGUGGGUGGGUUGACGGUAGCUGGAUAAGAAGCGCCGGCUAACUACGU
rnacentral:rRNA from 1 species